UCGAAAUAGCUCAGUUGGGAGAGCGUUAGACUAUAGACCGAAAAAUCCCUGGUAUGAUCCCGGAUUCGAA
rnacentral:tRNA from 1 species